rnacentral:rRNA from 1 species
CCUACGGGUGGCAGCAGUCGAGAAUCAUUCACAAUGGGGGAAACCCUGAUGGUGCGACGCCGCGUGGGGGAAUGAAGGUCUUCGGAUUGUAAACCCCUGUCAUGUGGGAGCAAAUUAAAAAGAUAGUACCACAAGAGGAAGAGACGGCUAACUCUGUGCCAGCAGCCGCGGUAAUACAGAGGUCUCAAGUGUUGUUCGGAAUCACUGGGCGUAAAGCGUGCGUAGGCGGUUUCGUAAGUCGUGUGUGAACGGCGCGGGCGCAACCCGCGGACGGCACAUGAUACUGCGAGACUAGAGUAAUGGGGGGGGAACCGGAAUGCUCGGGGUAGGAGUGAAAUGCGUAGAUAUAGAGGGGAACACUCGUGGCGAAGGCGGGUUCCUGGACAUUAACUGAAGCUGAGGCACGAAGGCCAGGGGAGCGAAAGGGAUUAGAUACCCGAGUAGUC